GGAGAUUGGAGUGGGGUGGGGAGUUCAUGAGGAGAGGCAGGCGUAGAGGAGGUCACACAGACAUCCCUUUGCCCACACAGCAGACACACUUUUUUUUUCAUUUGACGUGACACAGAUUUUUACAGGUUUACCCACCAUGAUAAACCCUUUGAUCAUCGGCAUCAUGACCGUAAACACCUCUCUGACCAUCUUCUACUGGGCCUUCAUCCUGGGUGAAGCUUACCUGAAGUGGUUGGUGGAGCCAGAAGACAAACCCAAGAAGAUAGUUACCCCAGCCUGAAGGAGCCAGCAUGGAUCUACCUGCCUGCCUGACUGACUGACUGGGCUUUUUUUUUUUUCUGCUAGUAGGGCUAGUCUGGAAAAGCAGUUCAGCUUGUAGUGCUUUCUGUGGAGUCGUAUUUGCAACAGUUGGUUUUAUUUGAUUUUAAUCUUGAGAGCAGAAAAUCGAAGACUCCUGCAAGGAGUCGUUUUCUACAGAGUUGCCGCAGUAGAUUACGCACCUGUUUUGAAACCCUGUCAUUCUCAGAUUAAAGAAAACGCUGAACAGACUGGAUCUUCGGGCCCAAAUCAGUGGAGGUGGAUCCAGAGGACGGGACAACAGAGGAGGAGCAGCGACUCAGCUUUUUCAGUCACCACACAGAAACGGGAGGUGCGCUGAGGAUGGAGAAAGAAAAAGAAAUGCUACUUCCUGGUUUCCACCAGGGAGACCGAGAACCCCAUCGUCUGUCGUCCCAGCCUCCGCUGAGAAGUGCUAUCGCUUCCUCGUACCCAGGAGAGAAAAGGAUGUCUACUCAUAGUGUGACCUUCGAAUGCCCCGCGGGGCCUUUUGUCACUUCCCUCUGAGUUUGCAUCUCAACUGUGGCUCACAUCAGUUUUCAUCAUGUCUUUGCUGUAGUGUGCAACUCUGAUGUAAAAACCCAUAUAGUUAUAGUUUGAGCUCAUUUUACAGUAAUAUGCUUUCUUUUAUUAUGUAUUUAGUAGUUUGUGUGAACAUGAUCCAGUAGUUUGAUUAAACUGACCUGAGUUAUCAGGCAAUAUGUUAAAUCCUUCUUUCUUAAAACAAUGUUUCGUAAACUAGAUGUCAAACUGCAAACUUGCAGACGUUUUAGUU